GUGCAGAAGCUUUUUAUUUUGAUGUAGUCCCAUUUGUUAAAGUUGUGUGUGCUUAAGCAAAAUUUGCUGUGUAGUCUCUGCAUUGGGCGAGGCCUUUAAUCUCCCUAAACUCAGUCUCCUCAUCUUUAAAGUAUGGGUAGUAGUUGAACCUCCCAUGAGAUAAUCUUUGUAAAGAGCUUAGACAGUGCCUGGCAUACAGUAGUCACUCAGUUAAAUACCUAUUGUUUCCAGAAGGCUUUGCUGAUAUACAUUUCUGCAUAUUGUAGGCUGUGUGGUCUCAAAUUUAGGACUAUAAUUACAUUCCUAGCCCUCUAUGCCAAUUUGAAUUGUAGUUUUAAGAAAUGUAACAUAGUUUCCAUCGCACUUUUAGAAGAGGUUUGUGCAUUUGGCCUGUGGUGCGGAAAACUUAAUACUGGUUUGAAAUGUAUUCAGUUUCUAGAUGAGUCUCACAUCACCCAAAUUUAUGACUGAUCACAAAACAGUUACUAAAGGGCACUAUGUUUGUGACCACCUGCUAUUAAUAGUCUAGAUAAAGGCUUUGUUUCCUGGCUGUGAGAUUAUAUUUCAUUCUCUGGUUUUGGUUACAGAAGACACGCAAGUGAGAGAUAGCAGAGGAACCGUGUGCUGUCAUCUUAAAGUGACACUGAGGGUACCCCUGAGGCCUCUGGGAGAUAUGCAGUUAAACUAAAUAAUGGAACACCUAUUUAUAGUAACUAAUUAAAGAUAUCUAUAAAGCAGGAAAAUCAUGAACAGUGGCCCCAAGUUUUAUCUGUGCAGGAUGCACAUUGGGAGGCAAUUGAAAACAAAUAACAAGCAGAAAGGAAGAAAGAAGGGAUGGUACUAAGGAUAAUAUAAAGGUUAAGAAAAACAAAAGGAAAAAACAAGAUUGGCCAAAUUACUAGAAGAUGUAAUACACCUCUGUUCAGAUUUUUAAAUGAAAAGGACUGAAAAGGCAGCACACUCUUGGUAAACUCAUUAAAACUGACCUGUUCUAAUGCCGUGCCAAUAAGAAAUGCACAUGCCCCCUUGGAGGAAUGAAAACAUUUCUGUUGCAGCAGAAGACCUAUGUUGUCAAACCGUGACAAUAAGCCAGGUCAUAUCUAACAUGUUUCAUCGCAUGUUUUG